rnacentral:rRNA from 1 species
GAUGAACGCUAGCGAUAGGCUUAACACAUGCAAGUCGAGGGGCAUCACAUGAGUAGCAAUACGAUGGUGGCGACCGGCGCACGGGUGAGUAACACGUAUGCAACCUGCCCAUAACUGGGGAAUAACCCGUCGAAAGGCGGACUAAUACCGCAUAACCAUGAUUGUCUGCAUGGACGAUUAUUUAAAGAUUUAACGGUUAUGGAUGGGCCUGCGUUCCAUUAGAUAGUUGGUAGGGUAACGGCCUACCAAGUCUACGAUGGAUAGGGGUUCUGAGAGGAAGGUCCCCCACACUGGUACUGAGACACGGACCAGACUCCUACGGGAGGCAGCAGUGAGGAAUAUUGGUCAAUGGUCGAGAGACUGAACCAGCCAAAUCGCGUGAAGGAUGAAGGUAUUAUGUAUUGUAAACUUCUUUUGUCAGGGAAUAAAGUGCAUCACGUGUGAUGUUUUGUAUGUACCUGAAGAAUAAGGAUCGGCUAACUCCGUGCCAGCCGCCGCUGUAAUAC